GUCAACACGCAGAGAGCGCUAAUGAAGAACAGGCUGAUGAUGCGCCGCGCAGACAGCACAGACAGAGGAGGCAGAGAGCAGCUGGGUGAGUGAAGCUCCUUUGGCAUGAAGAGUUCUUAACAUUUCAGAAGAGGAACCAGUCUGAAGUUACUCUGCGUGUUUCAUUCUCCGGGCUGCGGGGUUUGUUGUUGACACGGCUUCACAAAGAAAUCCACGGACACCCGAGACCCUGACGUUUUCCCUCCGCUCUGGGCGUCAUGGUGGCAGCAGUCCUCAAGAUCUACUUCAUCGGGACAGCACUGAGUGUCCUCGCCGUCUUCUAUGGGAUAAUAGACUCCUUUGGCGGCCUGAUGUACGUCCAGGACCGUCACUAUGUUUUGGAUCUGGAGCCCCACACACAGAGGCAGACGCCCUCAGAGAACCAGGGGAGAGGAUCCACCGUGACCAAGAACAUCGGCUCAUGAGGGAAACAUAAACAUGGCUGCUGGAUGGAUGCGCUGUGGGACUUUAUAUAAAGACAGGUUGGACAAUCACAAGGACACGGGUCUGUCCAGCCGGCUGGAUGAGUUCGGCAUUUAAAGGUGCCUCAGCAGAUCUCUGUGACCCGCUCUGUACAAUCUGCUGUCAGACACCGAGCAGCUAAAUGUGUUGGAGCAGCUACAAAUGUGACGAGAUGCAUGACAGCACUACUGAACAACGACUUGCACUAAAUUCAGGAUGUUUUUCACUUUCAGAUGUAUAUUUGUAUAUUUGUAGUUUUAUUAAAUAAAAGGAAUGAGAUGAUUGAAAUAAGAACA